rnacentral:tRNA from 1 species
GCCGGAGUAGCUCAGUUGGCAGAGCAACGGUUUUGUAAACCGUGGGUCGCCGGUUCGAGUCCGGCCUCCGGCU